GUGGGGAAUAUUGGACAAUGGGGGGAACCCUGAUCCAGCCAUGCCGCGUGUGUGAAGAAGGCCUUUUGGUUGUAAAGCACUUUAAGCGAGGAGGAGGCUACCGAGAUUAAUACUCUUGGAUAGUGGACGUUACUCGCAGAAUAAGCACCGGCUUACUCUGUGCCAGCAGCCGCGGUAAUACAGAGGGUGCAAGCGUUAAUCGUAUUUACUGGGCGUAAAGCGCGCGUAGGUGGCCAAUUAAGUCAAAUGUGAAGUCCACGAGCUUAACUUGGGAAUUGCAUUCGAUACUGGAUGGCUAGAGUAUGGGAGAGGAUGGUAGAAUUCCAGGUGUAGCGGUGAAAUGCGUCGAGAUCUGGAGGAAUACCGAUGGCGAAGGCAGCCAUCUAGCCUAAUACUGACACUGAGGUGCGAAAGCAUGGGGAGCAAACAGGAUUAGAUACCCGGGUAGUCC
rnacentral:rRNA from 1 species